AUCCCAGUCUCCCAUCACCUUUUCUACUUUUCAAUUAAAUAACUGCAAAUCAUUUUGUUUUUAUAGGAUUUGGGCAAGCUCCUGGCCAGCUAGGGCAGCAAGCUAAACCCUCCAAACAGUAUGGUGGACUGAGGGACAUGCUGGGGGCAUACAGAGGAGGUGUUCCCUGCGCGCAAGGCAAAUACUGCGGGCGAAGGAGAAAAUAAAAGAUCUGAGAAUGAAGCGACCUCAAGAAUUAUGGUGCUACUGCAUGAUCUAGAAUGUAAAUGGUGUUGCAUUAAAAAAAAAAUCCCCCUUUUUCAUGUACAAAAUAAAAAAUGACACUUCGAUUAAGCUCGGUUAUACCAGAUAAAUAGUCCAUAAAAAUGUUAAAUUGGAAGGGAGGGUCAUUAAAAUGCAAUACACUAGGUCAUACCCUUAUGAAUAUUGUUAUACUGCUUAUGUAUACUGGCAGCAUAGACUUGAUAUAAAAAGUGUACUGUGCCUGUAGUAUAUUACUUUCUCAUAAGGAUAGGCUUUGUGUAAUAACCUCUGUAUUAUAGUGAACCUGUUUAAAAGUGUCUAUAUCUCCUUUUAUACAUACUGUGGGAACUCACUCUUUCACGUGUCCCCAAAUGCAUUGCCCAUUUUUCACUUCUGC